ensembl:snRNA U6 U6 spliceosomal RNA
GUAUUUCCCUUCAGCUGCACAUAAAGUUGAAACGAUAUGGAGAUUAGUGAGGCCCAUGGGCAAGUAUGACAUGCAAAUUUGUGAAGCGUUCCAUAUUAAA